UUAUUAAAGAUAUUAAAUAUUUAAGGCUCUAUUCUAUUCUGAAGUCUCCAUUGAAGCACAGAAAUAACGUCUUCAUUUUUUUCUUCUGGGUUUGUUUUUUACGUUUGUUUUUUCUUCAGUGCUUCUUUGAACUUCUCUGAAAUAUGUGUAGGUCUGAGCAGCUGACUGGCUACAGCCCACAGUCUGCUUAAUUUGGUCUGUGCCGUUUGCUGAUAGCAAAGCAAUCCUUUCCCAGCCAAACUAAUGUGCCCAGACCAUCAUUUCCAGUACGUGUUACAAAGAAGCAGUUAAAAUAUUUGUGUAGUGAACCUGUGUAUUUAAACGUACAUCAAAGGCUAGGCCAGCCUUUUACAUAUUUAUAUAUUAAAAGAAAGCAGCUGAUGUAAAAUAUCCUUUGCCCAGCGCUGAUCCGUAGGAAAGUUUUCAGCUAGUAGAACACUUCUAUUUGGGUGAUGGGCACUGUGCUAGUUCUGAUGAUUGUCAAAUUGUAGUUCUGCAUACCAGGUUCUACAGCUCAUACAAGCAUGUUACUACCACUGCAUUGUCGCAUUUCAGCGUAACACUUGACUUGAAGAAUAUCAAGAACACUUGUUUCUAACAAAAAAGGAAAAUUUUAAGAACAAAACCUUUCUUUACUACAAAAUAUUUGUCUCAGUGAAGUGUUAGAUAAACUUGCUGGAACAUUUAUUUUUUCAGUGUAAAUUUCCUUCCCUCUCACAACUCUGCAUGUGGGUCACAUUCUUUGGGUUUUAAUUGGCAUUUUUAAAUCAUUAUCUCAUUGGCUUUUGAAGGGAAAGUUGAUCUUUUUUAAAGGAAAAAUAUAGAGGAAAUAACUUUUUGUUUGCAUUGAAAAGCAGUUGAAAUAAGAAUGUAAAAUGUAACUAGAAUAUCCAUGUUGUUCAUGUUAACAGUAGUUAUCUUGUUGUCUGUAUCAGUACCUAAUGAAAUGUCUCCUGCUGUAUUAAAGCGCUCCAAUGCAAGCUUGAGCAAACACAGUUAAUAGUAUCAAGAGUCUUUGAGCAGCAGUGGAAAAUGUGGCUUGGCCUCAGAAAUGAGGUUUAAUACAAGGCACUCCUCACUUUGCAUUCUGCUUUUUUUCUUCUCUGAUAAUCAUUAAAUAGUAUCCAGAAAACUAUAUGAAGGAAAGAUUGGGCACUGGGGAAACAGCAGCACAUCGAGCCUUUCAUCAAAGGGAUAUCAAGGUGUUCUGCUGCUGAACCUGAGAGGAGUAUGAAUAUGCUUAUUUUGAUGGUUGAGAGCAAGCAGUUUCUUCAUGGUAAUGCAUGUUGGUUAAAGAGCUCAUGCAAAGUCUUUCAUCAACUUGUUCAUCUAUUCCUUAACACAGUUCUCCCUUCUUGCUCACUUCUUUAUUCCACAUAACUUCCUGGAACCUGGUAGUGUGUGACCUUGUCUCUUCCACAGUGGCAAGACGAGAAACUGGUUGGAACAAUUUGCACAUCACAGAGAAGGAGCUGGCUGGAAGCUGUGGGCUGCAACUCUGGUCUGACGCCUGUCUGAUACCGCAGCGCUCUGCGGCUGCCCCAGUGCUCGGUAAGCCAUCUGCCAACCAUCCGAUGGCCAACAGACUGCUUACAACCUUCAACUCUUUUCUCCUCCACGUCCAAGAAUUGGAAUUAAUCACAUUCAGCACAGACAUUUUUCUGUUUGGUUUUGUAUUCCCAAACCAAGGGGAAAAAUGGCUAGCCUUUAAAAACAGACUCUGUAAACAGUAAUCAUAAUGACCACUGGUGUUACUACUGCAAAAGGAGAAGCUGAAAAAUUCUUGAAUAUCAA